CAGAGGGUCACAUUGUCUUGUAUAUACUAUUCUUGCUCAUUUAAACUGUAGUAAAUGUAUUAGCAUGCAUAUUAUUCUAUAUUUAAAAAAAGCCUUCAGCAUUACCAUAACACUUUAAAACUUCAUGCAGAUGUCUCUGAGAGAAAUCAAUCACUUCCAGCAGCUUUUUCAGGGCAUUGAAUCCAGGACAGCUCGAGUCUAGUCAAACUGCAGCUGUCCUAUCUAGUCUUUGAGCAUGAACUGAUGAAGCCUACUUGGAGAUGCGAAACGUCUUCUAAGACAACCUGAACGGCCCAGUUUCAUACAAUUAGCCAGAUGAAUAAAAACAUUCACAGGCUCCAGUCUGCAAAUUUGAAUGACACAGUAUACAUUGUGCAUAUUUUAGAAGUUGUUCUGCGGAGGAGAAUUCCUCAGAACCAAGGCUCAAUUACAAACAUUCAUAAUUUUACAGCUAUGAUUUUAAUUACACAAACUCAGCCAGGUUGAUGGACUGAAGCAAGAGAAAUUAUUUAUUUUUAAAUUCAGGUACUGUGUUAAUAUGUGAAAAGUUGAAUCUGACUGAAUUGAAAAUUAGUCUAGAUACCGUAUUUUCUGGACUAUAAAGCACUACUUUCCCCCCAUGCUUUGAACCCUACGGCUUAUAAAACUGUGUGACUAAUUUAUGGAUUCUUCUUUGCUAACGACCAUAACGUUUUGUAUUGAACAAACAGUUUUAAUUGAACAUAGACGGUGACAUUUAAAAGGUGUGUUAUUGUUUGUGCUAUGGCGCCAUAUUUUUGGACGCGUUUGCCCACCACAGGUGCUGCUGGUUGAAAAUGUACUUCCUGUUUCCUUCCUUGAACCGGAAGUAUUCGUCCAUAGCGGUUCUGCUCGAAAGGAUUCUUCAUUUAUCACGACAAGCAACGUUUUUUUCUAAACGUCACCGUAGAGUUAUUGAGUCUGUUUAGCUGAUUGGAGAGCGAGCUUCCAGCCAUUGGGUCCAUGUCGAUGACUUCUGUUUUGUUUAAUCACCAUUUGGAAACAAUUAAGGUCCUGUGACAUGCAACUUGUUAAAGUGGGCACUGGCCUCCCCGUGAAGCCUGUUCAACAGCCAGUGGCAGCAACAUUAAAGUAUCCAUUCAAGACUACAUUUGUUUUCAGUGUUGGCGAGCAACCCUCACAGUCUUCAUUCUUGAAAUGACUAAAUUCAGGGUAUGAUGUAAGGAGAAAAUCACUAAAGAGUGAAGAAGAAUGUGAUGCAUACUAGAUCAAUAUUUUGUCACCUUUAGAUUGCCUGUGUGCUUGUCAGACAUCCAUAUGGACCACUAUUACGUUGUCACAGAAUAUGUUCUAAUUAUCCAUGGACAGGAAAGGGUACCUUUCACAUUACCAAUAUGGUACCAAAUCCCGGUACCUGAGAAUCGAUACCAGUAGUUUUCAGUAAUUUUGAGUGUGUGUUUGAUAAAUGUUGAUUGUAUAACAAUAAAACCAUUUUUUAACAUUUAACACACAGUAUAGUGAUUGUGUUGUUCAGUUGUUAUCUCUAUAUUUAUUUCACUUUAAGUUCUGAGUCUCAUUAACAAGUAUUAUAUAGUAAACUUUGCAUGCAGUUGCAAUUCCAAGGUAUUAGAUAGCAGUAGUGUAUAGCUACGGUGUGUUGCCUAGCUAGGAUAUUGUCCUUGCCAUUAAGUUAAAUCUGCCAGUCUUGUCUUUUGUUGAGUCCUGCAAGGUGUUUAUAAUGUAAGUAUUGUACUUAUUACACACCAGUUGUUUGAUUGUAACAUGCAUCAUAGUUAUAGUUUUCAUUAUCCAAUUUAGAAGUAUUAAACUUGCCAUGUAAAAUUGCUAAUGCUAAUCAGUAGCAUAUGACACAGCAUCAAGCUAGCAUACUUUGGAAAGUGGGGCCUUUCCUUACGUUUAAGCAUUUUGCUUUGUUGGCAAUUGAAAACUGCAACAUUACUUAGAGGUAGUUCGGCUGAGUCUGCUCUGAGUGCUGCUUGAGUGCUUGUUUGCCUGCCAAGUGUUUGAGCCGGACAUCUGCAACCGGACGUGACAUCACGUGCCCUGAAGGUAUCAAAUUAUGGCAGUUUGAUUUUACAAGAAUCGAUACCCAGCAGUACUGACCGAAUUCUAUCUAUAAAAGUACUGGAUUCGGUACCCAUCCCUAUUUAUAACCACAAUUCCAAAAAAUUACUACCGUAUUUUUCGGACUAUAAGUCGCAGUUUUUUUCAUAGUUUGGCCGAGCUCCAGUGCGACUUAUAUAUAUUUUUUUCCUUCUUUAUUAUGCAUUUUCGGCAGGUGCGACUUAUAUUCCGGUGCGACUUAUACUCCGAAAAAUACGGUACAUCAUUUAUACCUCAUAUUUUACAAAGGAAAUUAAUAAGUUACAUUUAUGUAGAUCACACAGCUAUUGUUAGCAUUUACCCUUACAUGGGAACACAAUCCAUUUGAGGGGAGAAGAGGAGCACGGUGACCUAGUAAGCCGGUACUUAAUAUUUCCAGUGCUAAAAGAAUAGUGGGUGAUUAUUUAUUAUGUUUUCGUGGGUGAUUAUUUAUUAUGUUUUCUUGUGCAGAUUCUGGGAGAUUUGGGAACAAGCUUCCAGGAAAUACUUCUAACAUCUUGUGAGGUGAUUGGUUUGGUUGUUAUAUUGAUGAAAACAGUAUUUGUUUUUAAAUAAAUGUGUUUCCAAAUGAGAACUACUGCACUGUACUUGAGUUUUAUGUGUUGUGCUUCUUUCUCAAAUGGGGCUGUGCUCUCAGAACAAGCCUCAUGCUUACCUGCUGUUUUUGUAAAUCCUCAGAGUUAUUAAACUCUUCCUGUUCACACUGGAAUUAGCAGAACAUC